rnacentral:misc_RNA from 1 species
AAUGGCUUCUAUUACGAUCCUAAUAGCAGUCCUUUUCAGAAGUUGGAACUGAAAUCCACAAAUGAGGGAAGAUUGGGUUUCAGUUUUUCCUCAUAUGAGUUGCAGUGAAUCAUCAUCAAGACCGGUGUAUGGAUGGUCGGUAAAAUAUUAGCUUUUCUGGCUUUGUUAUGUUAUUUCUGAAUCGUCCAUCAGUUUUGCUCAUUGUCAAGUGGACGCGAAGUUUCCAGUAUACAUGUUAGAGCUUUGGCAAUAGAUAGAGGUUUCUACAUAAAACAAAGAUCCUGAUUUAGUUGUCAUUUUUCCAGUAGAUGAAGAUCUAUUAAUGAGUUGAGACUUGAGUCCUAGUGACAGUCAUUUCUGUUUGAGAUUUGUUUCAGUGAAGUAUAUUCCCAUUAUCA